GACUCGUCCAGGACUAGGUCACCAAGCGUUUUGAAAAAAAACAUCCUUAAAAAUUAGAAUGUUUGGGCAUAAGCUCAAGCGCGCUUGGGUUAUGACAGUCAAUAGGUGAAGUGUAAGGAGGCACGAGAAUCAGGACUUUAUUAUUGUCUCUAUUCAUGCUUGACUGAUAAACAGACCUCCGGUCACUAGGUGGCAGCAGUAUUCGAAUGAAUCAACAGGCUGCCUGUUGAUGCCAGCAGAAAGAGUAGCCUGAACCAACCAACACAAUGCCGUAAACAGCUGACGAAGGAAGACACAAGCGCGAAUUAUUUGAAACAUAGCCACCUCCAGAGAAGAGAGCUGGAAAAGAUUGUGACAGAGAAAAGAAAAAUGGCCGCAGAGCCGCUUGGGCCAGCUCCUCUGUGGGAACCACAGGGCAUUCCCAGGCCAGUCAAGAAACAUCAUCCCUCCAGCGUGCCCUGGGUCUUCCCUGGGGCCUCCUGACCAGAUUCCCAAGCCACCUCAACUGGCUCCUCUCGACGUGAAGGAGCAGCGGCUCUACUCUUAGUCCCUCCCGGAUGACUGAGCUUCUCUCUCUAAAGGAGAGCCCAGACACGGGUGUUGAUGGGAAGUCCUGACGAGGAUUUGGAACACCGACUCAGAGAAAGGAGGCAGGAGAAAGAAACUCUGAAUGGGAGUUUCUUUAUGGAAACAGAAGCUUGGUGUUCAGGCAUCUGACCAGUGGGCCGGCCGGACCCUGGGGGCCAGUCCUCCAGGAGAGCAGCACAUCUGCAGCUCACAGCAGCAGACAAAACAAGCAGAUGUUCAAGUGGUGACAUUUGCCCGUGUUCACACUUGAACACUUCAAGUGUGACACGCGCACACGCUUUUUUUUUUCUUCAAAAAUCCUUCACAGUGCGCUGCAGAGGUCGUCUCUGGAACGAAUAAGAGCGGCUUAGACCUUAGACUCCGUGAAGGUGGAACGAGGUCAUUAAGACGUUUAACAGCAAAAGAAGUUCAGCUCCGGAUCAGGAGGGACGUGGUGACAGCAGGAAUCCUUCCUCAUCCUAUAUUACAGCGGGUCCCACUGCUCAAGGUGCGUGGCAGUAAAGGCUUGAAUGAUCUGUCCAGACUCCAACAUGCACACAGUUGUCUAGAUUUCUCCAGAUCUAAGUUCAUCAUCUAAUCUUUACCCCGUGACUGGUGACAACGGAUCUGAAAUUUCAAGACAAACUGAGUUUGAUAUUAAAACCCGCCAAGACUACCUGGGUGGAAAAAUAUGAUCUCAAUCUUCUUGUUACUGAAACCCAAAAUAUGCAUCAUAUUCAUUGAAAUUCUUUGAGCUUUGUGUUUUGUUUUUUUCCAAAGGGAUGUAGACUGGAUAGUCAUUAACAUAAUUAAAUGAAGUUAAACUUGAGCCCUAAAGCAGCAAAUAAAGAUAAAAAGAAAGAGUCCUAGAAUACG